rnacentral:rRNA from 1 species
UGGGGAAUUUUUGGCAAUGGGGGAAACCCUGACCAAGCAACGCCGCGUGGAUGAUGAAGUAUCUCGGUACGUAAAAUCCUUUCGACAGGGAAGAAACCCGCAAGGGUUGACGGUACCUGUAGAAGAAGCCCCGGCUAACUCCGUGCCAGCAGCCGCGGUAAUACGGGGGGGGCAAGCGUUGUUCGGAAUUACUGGGCGUAAAGGGCGCGUAGGCGGUCUGUUAAGUUGGAUGUGAAAACUCUGGGCUUAACCCAGAGCCUGCAUCCAAAACUAGCAGGCUAGAGUUCUGGAGGGGAUAGCGGAAUUCCUGGUGUAGCGGUGAAAUGCGUAGAUAUCAGGAGGAACACCGGUGGCGAAGGCGGCUAUCUGGACAGAGUCUGACGCUGAGGCGCGAAAGCUAGGGGAGCAAACAGGAUUAGAUACCCCCGUAGUCC